UACGUAGGGUGCGAGCGUUGUCCGGAAUUAUUGGGCGUAAAGGGCGUGUAGGCGGCUUUGUGUGUCCCAUGUGAAAGCCCUCGGCUCAACCGGGGAACUGCAUGGGAAACUGCAGAGCUUGAGUCCGGGAGAGGAUAGUGGAAUUCCCAGUGUAGCGGUGAAAUGCGUAGAUAUUGGGAGGAACACCAGUGGCGAAGGCGAUCACCUGGGGAUGUUCUGACGCUGAGGAGCGAAAGCUAGGGGAGCAAACGGG
rnacentral:rRNA from 1 species